rnacentral:rRNA from 1 species
AUCAUGGCUCAGGAUGAACGCUGGCGGCGUGCUUAAUACAUGUAAGUCGGACGGAGCGUUAGCAAUAGCGCUUAGUGGCGAACGGGUGAGUAACACGUUGGUGACCUGCCCCGAAGCGGGGGAUAACAGUUCGAAAGGACUGCUAAUACCGCAUGAGGUCGUGAGGAUUAGAAGCUUACGACGAAAGCAGCAAUGCGCUUUGGGAGGGACCUGCGGCCCAUCAGCUAAUUGGUAAGGUAGUGGCUUACCAAGGCGACGACGGGUAGGGGGCCUGAGAGGGUGAUCCCCCACACUGGCACUGAAACACGGGCCAGACACCUACGGGUGGCAGCAGUAGGGAAUAUUGCACAAUGGGCGAAAGCCUGAUGCAGCAACGCCGCGUGCACGAUGAAGGCCUUCGGGUUGUAAAGUGCUUUUCUACAGGACGAGGAAGGACGGUACUGUAGGAAUAAGGAUCGGCUAACUACGUGCCAGCAGCCGCGGUAACACGUAGGAUCCGAGCGUUAUCCGAAUUCACUGGGCGUAAAGGGCUAGCAGGCGGCCGGAAAAGUUGGAUGUGAAAUCUCCUGGCUCAACUAGGAGAGGCCGUUCAAGACUAUCUGGCUAGAGGGCGAUAGAGGGAGGUGGAAUUCCAGGUGUAGUGGUGGAAUGCGUAGAUAUCUGGAGGAACGCCAGUGGCGAAAGCGGCCUCCUGGGUCGUGCCUGACGCUGAGAAGCGAAAGCUAGGGGAGCGAACGGGAUUAGAAACCCCGGUAGUCCUAGCCGUAAACGAUGUAGACUAGGUGUCGGUGGGGUAAAAGCCAUCGGUGCCGCAGCAAACGCUUUAAGUCUACCGCCUGGGGACUACGGCCGCAAGGUUAAAACUCAAAUGAAUUGACGG